AUGAAGCCCAGCUGUUUCCUAGACAAUACUAGGCUCAACCACAGGAAUUACCUCUUGGAGUCUCCCCACAAGUACAGUGUUGCCGACCUCCAGCAGGUGAGACUGCCUUUCUCUACCCCAGAGGGGCCUCAUUCCUGGAGACAUCAGACGGGAGGGGUGGCUGCAGCUUUUCAGCACCUCAGACUAUGUGUCUGGCUGUCCCAGGAUUCCUGGGCGGUGACUGAGCGCCAGCCCCCUGCAGUUAGCAGGCAGUCCAGCAAAGCCUGGGGAACAGGAGCGCCUUGGCCCCUUCCCUGCCUCUGGCCUCGUCCCCAGCUAGAGGGCAGCAGGAGGAGAGGCCCCAGGCCUGAAAGUUGAGGACAUUCCUUCCUUCAGGGAGGGCACUGUGGAUUUGGGUCUCAUCCUUAAGCCGGUUACCCCCAGUGACCUCCAUGUGGGG
rnacentral:lncRNA from 1 species